GGUCAUUCAGCUAUCAGGGUUGCCAGACUUCCCUUGUCUGGAAGAGAUAGUAUCUUGGCUUGGACCACGGUUACUGUAUCUCUGAGCAGAAAGAGUUCAGGAGGCUCCAUUGGCUGAAGCAGAGAGGAACUUCCCAUUUCUUGUUAGAAGCUGGUGGAUGUAAAAUGUGAGCAGCAGGAUAAGGAACUAAAGAAUGACGCUGACUCUGAGCCACAGGCUGAAGAGUGGGGAGUAAACUAGGGGAAAGAACAGCAACAAUUGUGUUGGAGAUCUGGGGAGACUGAAGGAGUGGAGUGGUGGGUUGUUUUAUGGGGAAGUCAAAGUUAAGGCUGGCCAGCUGAUGGUAACUGCAUGGAGGGCGAUGUUGAGAUGCAAGAAAGACUUUGACGUGAGCCUACAAUACACCUGGAAGGAUCCCACACCCAGAUGGGUAACAUCAGUCAAUGCUCAGCCCACCGGUUGCUGGGAUAUUGGGUCAGCCAGCCCUGGUUCCCUUCAGAUCACGUGAGCAUGGAACAGUCUGACCCACCUGGGUAAUCUAGAAGUCAUAUUUGGAAAAGCUCUUUGUAGACCUAAUUCACUGCUUUUUCUGGUGUUUAUAGCUUAUUGAGCAGAUUAAUAUUGGUAAAUAUUAAUAGGGUCAUCUGGAAAGAAAUAGGCACUCUAGCCUUUGCCAGCAAACCACUUAUGCACAUGCUUGGAGACAAGCACUCAUACUAAGGUAAAUGGAAUUGCUCAUAAGCUUGGUGCUGACUGUGUGCUCAGGGCUUCUGGGUUUGGAGAGACUUCUGAAACUCAUUGCUAACAAACGGAAAUCAGAUCCUAAUAUGAGAAUAGAUUUUCAUGAAAUAAAAUUAAAAGCUACUAAAAGGCAGAAGUCAGGAUGAGAGAGGAAAUAAUCUAAUUUGAAUGGCGUUCAUAACUUCAAGAACUACUUGAAGGAAAGGUCCCAUAUUCCUUUCCUGCCUUCUAACCGGCUCACUUGAAAGCACUCAGGCAGGUUGGCUCAAUGCACUGGGGACAGUGUGUGGUGUCUGGAUGGACUAUGCUGGAGAAGAAGGCAGGAAGGACUCUUCUCUUGCUCUUCUCUUCUCUUGCUGAACUGGUUGAAAUAAGCAUUUGAAGCAGUUUGUAAGCAAUUUGAAGCACUUCCCUUAGAGCAGUGCUGCUCACUGGGAAGCAGUGAGCAGAUCUGGGUGUAGCGAGUGGUUAUUUUAUGUGCACCUCAAUCCUGUUGGACCUUGAAGUAUCCAAAUGAAAAAUUACUGACCUGUUUUGGAUAUAGUUACAGCAAUGCUUGGACAGAGAGAACUUGGAUAAAAGCACGUCUGACCUCCUCUUGCCAGGAAUAGUCCAGGAGUUUGCAAAAGCUAAAACAGGUUCUGGUUCAAUACGUGACUUUGUCCCCAAGAGGAAGAUGCAUGAGAUGUUAGAAUGCUCUUAGUGCUAUUUCUCCCUUUCCAAAAAGGAACAUGAAGCACCACUGAGAACUUACUGCUCUGCUGAAGGAAAUCAGUACAAACACAGGGAUUUUUCCAGAAAAGUCCAGUAUGAACUGAUAGGAUUCCCACUCUUCUCAGAGGGAAGCUGCAUAAUCCUGGCCCUUGGUUUGGCAAGUGCUAUUCUUUUUCAUGGGGUACAGUGUCCCCAGAUGGGCGGGUGAGCAGUGCACUCUGGCAUUUCCCUAUAAAGCAAAAUUGGCACGAAGAGGAGAAAUAAAUUAUCAGAUCUUGGAUGUGAAUUCUCCUUAAUAUUAAAAAUGGAUAGGCUCUUCUCUCGAGAAAGGAGAGAAGGGAAGUGGGGAAGGGCUGAGCCCGCAGCUGAUGGAGCAGCACUCCUGCUAGCAGAGAUUUGCAGUGUCAGGCCUUUAACCAAGCCAUUAAAGCCUGAUCUGUGCUGUGCCUGGGGAAGGGGUGCCAGCUGUUCAGCUGGCCAUGAUGAUGGGGAAAGGGGCCUGCUCUGCUCUGUGUGCAAAUGGGAAUUUAUAUGGGGAGAGCUGCGACGUUUGGCAAGUGAGCGCAUGCAAUUUAAGGUUACCUGCAGGCAGCUGUUGCUCGUUCUGUGGGUGUUUUUAUGGCUAUUUAAUUGCACAUUGCUCAGUGCCCAAUGAGCACAAGUUGCAUGAACAACCACAGCACCGUGAAUGCUGCUGCCUCUGAGAUAAAGGACUGGGUUUGAGAAACAAGUGCCUGGCUCACAAUGCCACAGGCCUCAUGCACUCCUUAGUCUGUGCUUUAUCUCUGAUAAAAAGGGAAGAAAUGGGCUAGUUCUUAAAAAUAAACCCAAAAGCGUUUUAAGGACCUUUUCCCCUUUUCUAUUCUUUUCCCAGGUUGCAAAAAUAACAUCCAGUAAUGAAAUGAAAACAAGCUGAAUGGCUGCAUUGAGCGGAGGAGGGCAGAGGUAGUCUCAGACAGCUGGAGCAUGUCUGGGCCAGUGUCUCACUGCUUUUCUCCCUGCUAGUUCAGUGCCACUCCAGGAAUACAGACAAUGCUGGCUACGGCUGCUUCAUAUUUGAUUUCCACACUUAAAUUCUGCUUGUUAAGUAAAACCCCAUUGUCAGGCUGGCAGGCAGCCACGCUCCCUCCCCAGCCUUGCCUCCUAGCUUCUCUGGUUGGGUGCUCAGAGCCAUCUAGCAAAGACCAGGUCUCGCUGUUCUGGUGCUGCUUGUAGCAUCACAACAAAACCUUUGGGCCCUCAUCAAUCUGUGUCUGAGGGCGGGCAGAAGCCCUGCAGGAAAGGAACGGGGUUUGGAAUGGCCUCAGCUGGGUGCUGGGUGAGCUGUAGGCUGUGCUGGGAGAGCUGGUGGCUGGGCACAGCUCUGGGAUUACUGCUGGAUAGCCUGUGAGGAGUGGAGCUCCUGGGCUCCAUGGGACCAUUAGGUCAGGGUGGAGCAUCCCGCAGUUGUAGGAUUUGCUGGCAGGGUCCGUGGGUGGUGACAGCGCAGGGCAGGCAGAGAAGCCCUGCAGAUUGGAAGCAGAGCAGUGGCUGUGCUCGUAACAAAGGAUCGCUUCAUACCCUCUGGGAAAUACCAGGCAGGGCAUGAAAAUUAUGAAUAAUAUUAAUAAAGCUGGGAGGAUUACUAAAUCCAACAGCUGUCCAGCCCUUCGUGCAAGCACUUCUGGCCCUCCCACCCCCUCACGAGCUGGUGUUGUGGCCCAAUGUGUGCCAUUGCCUGGGCACUGCUCAGUCAGCACCAAUGGCACCCAGGCAGGCAGUGCUGUGCCCCCAGAGGAUGGCUGCAGUGUCGUGGUGGGGAGCAGCAGUGUUCUGACAGCAGAUCCUUCAACUGCCCCAGAGGAGCCCACCUCUGGACUGUAGUCAUGGAAACUGCUACGUGAGUGGAUUCAGGACUGGCUCCAAACAAAGUUAAAGGGGGGAAAAAAGCCCCAGGGGACUUCUGCAAGUGAGAAAGGUGAUGUUUUCCUCAGCAGAAUGAGGUUUGGGGAUGUCUGGAGCAGCAGCGAGGCCUCCAGCUGCUGGGAAUGGAGGGAUGGAUGCUGUGCUUCCUGCCAGCAGCUGGGCUGGUUCUGCUCUGGGCUGCCCUAACUCCUGUCUAGCCAUCUCCUCCUCUCCUGUCACAUUGUCAGUGUGCUGCUGUCAGGCCUGACCAUUGAGCUGUGAUGGGCUCACACCUCUUCUGCUCGGGGAGUGGAGCUGUGUCUGUGUGGUCUUUAACUCUGCAUGUUAUUACCAGUGCAGCAUUCACAGUUGAAGAGCAGCAAGGCAAACCUUCAGGUUCUGCUUCCUCUAAUAGCCGAAAUCAAGCUGUAUAACUUCUGUAAAGUUUUGAUCAGCCCUGAGGAUGAGAGGCCCUGACCACGUGUGCUGCAAGUUUGCCCAUUUAGUUGGAAUAGAAUAACAGCAUCUCCAUGUCCAUUCCAUCAGCCAUAUGGGUGAGGGUACCAGCAAGAACAGCCCCCAGAGGAAGCAGGCAGUUACACGUGAGGACCGAUGAUGGGGCAGGCCAAUGAAAAUGGCUUUAUGCCUCUCCGUGUGCUGCCCCUGAACUACCACUUGAAAGAAACAGCCAUCCCCAUUGGGGACGUCAGCAGAGCCACCCUGCUGGCACUGACUGGGCUUGGGGGCCCUUGCCCUGACAAACCAGGGAGCAGGGAUGGAGCCCAAGAGGGGAGAGCCCAAAGAGAACCCCAGGCAGCACAGCAAGGUUAUUUUAAGGUCUGCUUCACUCUGUCACCACUCCACACAAGCAACGUGUUUGGAUUCAGCUAUUCAUUCAAAGUGCUGUCAAAGGCACAGCAGACUUGCCUUACUCUCUCACCAGCUCUCCAUCAGGGCAGGGUGUUUCAUCCCUGCCUUUAUUUCAGAACCAAUUCUGACUGGGGAGGAGUGCCUGUAUUUUUUUUAUGAGCAGACAUAAACAGGCACACUUUCAUUCAUUGAAAUGCACCAGCAGUGACUUUCAGUAAGUGAUCUUCACAGUGUAAGCAUCUUGGGCCCACAUGUAACUUAGCUCCUCGUUUCAGGGUGGUGAAUGGAAAGGAGAACUGAAGAUGUGCUAAAAGCAAGAGUCUGCCUACGAGAAGGCAGAAAGCAGCACGAUCUGGGCUGUGCCUUCUGCUGUAGCAUAGCACAGUAUGGACACUGAUCCAGGACCUUGAGCAAUAGAGCCCUGCGGUUUGGUUUCCCUUCUGGCACACUAAUUGCGUUAGGAUCUAGGUUUAUUCAUGGCACUUUCCAUUUAUGAUUUAGGGAAUUUGAAGAAUACUGUUCUUGAGGCUGAGCCUGAAGUUAUAAUCUUGGCAUAUCCAUACUAUAAAAUUCCCGUGGAUAAAAGCAGAAACAUCUGGAUUCAUGAGUGGAUGUUGGCUAGGUCCACCAGGAAAAAAAGGCCUUCAAGGGAUCCUAGGGGGUUCUAGCCAGGAUAAAUAAUACAACAAAAUAAGAGUGCUAUUAGGAGUAACUGUAAUGCGAAAGCUGAAUUAUAAGAUGAGGGCUAAGCCCUUCUCACAAUCUGCUUUUCCAGCUAAGAGCCCUUCAAUUUACACUUAGUGCACAUGUGGCUCGUGGAACAAAGAAAAAGCUGAAGAAGGAUGAAAGCAACACGGAUUAUUCAGCAUUGCUGGUUUAGCUCCAGGCACAUCAUUUAAAUGAGUAGAUGAUCAGUUUCCAGUUUGUUUUAAAUUCUCUGGCAAGAAAUUUUAUUCUCUAUCCCAAACUUGGAUGUGCUUAAAGCUGUUCUUUUUGCCUUUUCUUUUUUUUUUUUUUUUAAAGCAGCUUGGCCAUUUUGUUAUAUUCCUUAAGGUGAGACUGUGAGGGGGUUCUUGCAGGGGUCAACCGAACUGUGGGACUGGAGGCACAGGCUGACUGUGUUCCAAAGGGUCCAUGUCCCACCUCUCAGCCUGGGGGGACCUCAGGGCUGAAGAACAGCUACUCCUUUCCCUCCUCCGCCCUGGGAGGCCAAGGGCCCUGCCUUGCAUAGCCAGACAUCAAACUCAAGCUGGGCAGCACCUGAAGUUGAGGGAAGUGGUUGUAGCAGCCAUGUUCCACAGAUCUGCAGCCUCUUUGGUUGCACCACUUGUGGGUGGAAACCUUAUCAGUGAGUCCUUCUCCCCUCUUCUCGUUCUCAUCUUCUCCGUGCCAGCAUCCGACUGGCUGAAUGGCUCCCGAGGAGCUGUUCUGUUGAUGCCACUCCUGUAGGUGUUUUUCCAUGGGAAGGCUUUCAGCUGUUCCCUGGAGAGAUGUCUCCCGUUGUGGUGUACUGCCAAUAAUUAAUGCACUCUGAAGACUGCCACGGGGCUCUGUGUGGUGUACAAACAUUUGGGGCUGGGCAAUACUCAAAGCAUGACUGCAAGCAGCAGUGAUGUGCAAAUGACCAUGUGUACACUGCCUUACAUUUUAUAUGAUGGAUAAUCUUAAUUGCACUGUAAGGACUGGGAGUUUGGCCUUAAAUAGCCUCGACACAUCCAGGAAAGCCAUUAAAAGUAUGUCCCAGUGUUUCUUAGGACAUUAUUCUCAGCAGGUAUUUGUUAUUGUUACUUAAUUUAUUGUCAACAUCUGUCGCUGCUGCUGCAUAUGGGCUGGCAUCCUCCAUCAGGGCACUGCGUUCUGCUAGCGGGGCGUAGCAUCGUGACUGCCAAAGCAAAAUGAGGAGAUGAAUCUUCUCAUGGAUGCUAGAAAAUAUUUGGUUCAGAUCAGCUGCUAUCGCUGCUGCUGACCACGUUUGUGGUGGUGUAUUCCUCCACCCAAUUUGAAGCAGGCAAAGAGAUCUGCUGAAACCGUGGGGCUCUCGGUUAGAAGCAAACAGCCUGAGGAGCUGAAAAAUGAAGCAGAGCUAAAUUUAGAAUCUCAGAUAGGAAAAUAUCUCUAUCUUCAGCACUCCGGGUUUUUCUCUUCUGCUCUGCACAAAGCACACCUUGGUUUGCGUGGCUGUUUGCAGAUCGCACCGACUCAAAGAAGGCUUUGGCUUGUGGAAAAAGAAGGCUUUGAUGUCCUCAGUAAACAAAUAGCAGUGUUAAUAGAUCUUCAGUUCUCGCUAGAGAGCUGCAAACAGCAGUGUUUGAAGAAAAAUAAACAUCCUGAGGUUGAUGGAAGGGUAGGAAGGGCAUAAAGUACUGCUGUCAAAUCCUUGGUGUGAGCCCAUCAGGAAUGUCAGAAAUGAAAAUGCCAUGAAAAAAGCUGUCGUUACUUUCUCUCUCCUUCUGGAUCAGAAGGAAAAUAAACUGGCGCAUGGUUUACCAGCCACGCGAUGGGAAUAAAUGGGUAUAAAACCCCAUGGCUGCAUCGUUACCACCCAAAUCACAAGAACACUGCAACAAUGCUGAGAAUUGCCUAGAGGUUUUGCCCUCCCACCAUUGGGGUUUGGGGAGACAACUCACUCUGCCUCCAGCCCUUCCUGACCCUUCACCUGCCGGGAUCCCAGGGCCUCAUCCCCUAAUCCUGAUCCACUCUGGAGCAGUGCAGCCCACGAGGAGGUGCAGGUGUGUGUCUGCUCGCGGUAAGGAUGGGAAUUUCACAGCCUGUGGCUACCUGAACUUUUGCUCUCUGAGACUCAUCGUCCUCGUCUCAUUGCAGCCUAGGAAAUGCAAAAGCUUGGGAAAUGAAACAAAGCAAAGAGCUAAACAGAGAUCUCAGUCGUGCCAGCGUAGCCCUUGGGAUGUUAAUUUGCACUUACACCGUUCUGAUAAUCCAGAUUUGGUUCAGAAUGAGAAAGUUUGGGUUUCCCCUGUAAAGGGAAAUCGAAACUCAGCAGGUUGUGAUAAUAAUAAAUGCACCGAUAUUUACUGCAAAUUGGAGCUAAGCAAGAGCCUCCACGGCCUCUCACUUCAGUUUCAUGUAGUUCUAUGCAUUUGUCACUUUAAAAAGACUUCAGAGGAUCUAAAAAAUAAGUAAUGCAGAUGUAGCUGAUUUUUUUAAGUCUCUGUAACAUCACUGACAUCUUCCCUUCGAUAAAGCUUUUUUCUGCUUGCCAAAGCUCCGUUCCAAACAGGACUGGCAACAUUUUAUCCAGCGAACCUGAAGAAAAAAGAGAAGAAAAAAAAAAGAAGAGAAACAGGGAAAAAAGCAAAGAAUUCAGAAAUAGAAUGCUUAUAAUCCCAAAGGUAAUAAAUCUUCCUCUGGUUGUUUCAUACAAGUUCUUUGCUGUUGUUGUGAGCCUCGGUCUGCUGGACUCACAGCAAGGGAGGCAGGGAUGUUUCCUGAUAACUAGCAGCUCCUUAGAGACCUUGGCCAUGGCAUGUGAGAACUGCUUACCUGGACACAUAAAGCAUGAUUCUGUUUAUCUUCAGAUGAUCCUGAAGUUACAGAAGUUAUUACAGUGUAUUCAGUAAGGCCCCUUCGCUCCCAAUAUAUAUAUACAACAUAUAUUUUUGUGUAUAUUUAUAUACAAAUGAGAACUGUUGCACUUCACUUUUAGCUCAGACAGCCCAUCCCGUGAGUCCUGAACUCCUCCUCCUCCUUCCCAUGAGGACAGACCCCUCCGUCUGUCAGGACAGAGGCAGGAAGGCCUUUUAUUUCCCAGGGAUUAGGGCUGGGUGCCUCCCAGUGCUCAUCAGAUGGGAUCCCUGGCAAUACUCGUGCUGCAUACCUUAUCAUAUGCCAUCCUCGGGGCAUGUCACUGGUAACCACCAAACUCAUUUCAGACCUGCGGCUCCUUUGGAGCGCUGCCAUCAGUCAUCAGCUACCACCACGUGCCCUGGGGCACAUCCUUGCUCCUCCCACAGGAGCUGCAGUGGGACUUGGAUGGGUCGGGAGUACAAUGGUGGCCCCUCAGGUCACUGUGCUGUUUGUGUCCCCUCUGGACAGUGGGGAAGGCAGAGUGACAGUUUUAGCACGUGGUGAUUUUACCGCUCACCCUACCCCUCUAAUGAUCCCAUAACUCACCCUGCUGGGGGGGAUUUGGCACCGAGCUGAUUUAUGGCAUGGUGCAGUGGGCUGUGUUCUGUGUGUUCCUUCCAACAGCACAGACCCUUCCUAUCAAAUAGUCUUCCACUCCUGGUUUAAUUAAAACUCAAUUAGCAAGGCUUUCGGUUCUGUUAAAUAUGCACAGGCUUCUACUAAAUUAACAUUAAUCUCCGCUCGGUGUGCAGGUCGCCGAGGUGACAUGUGGAAAAUUACAUGUUAUGGGCUCAGGAAUGCGACUUGGAGGAUGACUUCAUGUUCCUGAAUGAACAUAUCGGCGUGCCAGAUGUGCUGGUGCCUGACCCCUUCGGAGGCUCCCAGAGAUCACAUGUAGCUUAAAAAUGUAAUUUCAUGCAUGCGGAAAGAAGAAAGAGAGCCUAAUGGCUUUGUCACUUAGCUCUCCGUUUAAUUUGGGAAGGGCAGUGGGAAUGUCUUAAUAACACAAAGCAUGGCUCUGAUCCCCGUGCUGGCAGAGCGCUCCCAAUAGACGCCCUGAUGCCUUUCUCAUGGCCAGGAGGGUCGGCUAUCCAUAUUUGCUGGCUAAGAACUAGAAGUUAUACUUCUUUCCUCACUGGGGGAUGAUCGUCACACUGAGGCUGACACGAAUUCAUCCCUUGCUUUGAGCCACUGAUUUCUUCAUGAAUGACUUCAUCUGGGGGGAAAAGCAACAAAUGUGAGCGUAGGAAAAGAGGUCGUAUUUAUAAGUUAGAAAACAAGGUGGCAUUCAAGCCUUCCCCUUCUCAGACGUCCCUUCUUCCCAGCCCCACAGCUCGCUCCCCAACUCCCACUGAAGGGCGCACCGAGAGCGGUCCAUCCGGGUCUGCCUUUAAUAGCUGUGUCCCCAAAACUAAUUACACAACGGCGUUCCGUUCUGUACACUCGUGCUCUUCCUCUCCUCCCAGUGCAUUCCACGCACCUACACAGUCAUACUAAUUAGCUCACGUAAUAAACUUCAACGUGGCACCGAUCUGUUCGCAGGGCGUUGCCAGACGGAGCCGGGUUUGGAAAGCAGCCAUUCGUGGAUGUUUUGUUUGGAAAAGCCCCACGGACGUUACCGGGCUGAGAGUGGCGCUGAAUCCACAACGGGAGCUGUAAUUGAAGGAUACAAAUGGUUUUGCUUCAAUAGCCCUUAACGACGUCCCCGGAGGAGCUGUGCAGCGCUGAGGCCGUGGCUGUGGUGCUCCCAGAGAUGCCCGUUCUCUGCGUGCACAUCUCACCCAAGCGCUGCUGACGAACACUGGAGCUUCCAGCUAUAUCCCUGAUCAACGCUAGAUGUUGCUAUGCUGCUACUCAUAUAAGCUAUACAUUAGCCAGGCUUUCAGAUGCUCUUCACUGCCAUUUCCUCUUUCCUGUUUCUGC
ensembl:lncRNA